AUUGAACGCUGGCGGCAGGCCUAACACAUGCAAGUCGAGCGGUAGAGAGGUGCUUGCAUCUCUUGAGAGCGGCGGACGGGUGAGUAAUGCCUAGGAAUCUGCCUAGUGUGGGGGAUAACGUUCGGAAACGGACGCUAAUACCGCAUACGUCCUACGGGAGAAAGCGGGGGAUCUUCGGACCUCGCGCCAUUAGAUGAGCCUAGGUCGGAUUAGCUAGUUGGUGAGGUAAUGGCUCACCAAGGCGACGAUCCGUAACUGGUCUGAGAGGAUGAUCAGUCACACUGGAACCCUGAGACACGGUCCAGACUCCUACGGAGGCAGCAGUGGGGAAGUAUU
rnacentral:rRNA from 1 species